rnacentral:rRNA from 1 species
CGCGUAGGCGGCCAAGCAAGUCGGAGGUGAAAUCCCUCGGCUCAACCGGGGAACUGCCUCCGAUACUGCUUGGCUUGAGUCCCGGAGAGGGUGGCGGAAUUCCGAGUGUAGCGGUGAAAUGCGUAGAUACUCGGAGGAACAUCAGUGGCGAAGGCGGCCACCUGGACGGGUACUGACGCUGAGGCGCGAAAGCUAGGGGAGCAAACA